GUAAAAACUACAACUUACGUUCAAAAACUUCUUCUCCAGUGUACGAAAUCGGCCAGCAGGUUUACAAGCGGAAUUUUCGCCAGUCCUCUUUCGCCAACAGGUAUAACGCCAAGCUAGGUCCGGUGUACCUUCCCUGUACGGUGCUCGCAAGAGUUGGUACAAACUCGUACGAGUUGGCUGACUCCUCCGGAAAACCCAUUGGUGUUUUUUCCGCGACUGACUUGAAGCCCAGCACCUGAAAAGAAAAGAAAAAAGAAAACAACAACAAAGUAACUGUUGACUAACUUCGACGAUACAUAAAACUUACCAGAACCGAUUUCCGGGGCUGAUUCCCUUCCGUCCUUGGCACUGCAGGCCCUGGUAUGUGAAGACCGGAAAAGGCUCGGCAACGUAUCCAUCCAUCGCUUAAUUUACGACGUCGUUCGGAUGAGUUUUGAAAUCCCUUCAUUGUAAAAACUGUAUAGAUGCUCCUGUCAAUUCGUCACUAGUUGAGGCACUUCCGGAUUUUUCCUCCUGCAGGUUUAGCUGAAAAACGAAAGAGAGAUAGAUUAACAACAAAAUUUACCUAAAUACUGCCAUAAAUAGCGCUUUCGAGGACUUUUACCGUGAAAAUCAACCAAAAACUGUUUCGAAAAACCAUCAGCUUCUACUCCAAUGUUUACAUUUGAAAUAUUGAUUCUUCUUAUAAUCUUGUUCACUGUUCGACUGAUGUCAUGAGUGACUGUCAAUAAGUGAGUCCUACUGAGUUACACGAUUCUGUUCCAAUCAUAUGCUGAUUGAGAAGUAGACUGAUCGUGAUUAUAUCGAACCGAAAGUAAAAUUUUCAUUUUGUUUCAUUAAAAUGAGAAUUGAUUCAAAGGACUGUUGCAUUCAUAUCCCCAAUUACAAAAUGAAUGAUACUUCAUUCAUUUUGAGAAGGGAUGAUGAGGUAAUGUAACCGUUCGUUACUUCAAAUAAUUAAAUGUUUCUUCGACCCAUUUUUAAAUUCAACUACAUCCCUGGUGAGAUACUCGCCAAAACAAAUCGUCGCUCACGGGUUCCGUCCAUUUUACCUCCCAACCAUAAUCCCGCACGCGGAGACUUCUCUCCCGAGAGAUGCCCAGGGGCGUCGGAUGAACACUUUUUUGUUACUGCGAGGAAGUGUUAUCGACCAAUCAACGUCGUACACGUCCAAUAAAGUUGAUGACGUAAUGGUUGGUGCGACGGUUGGAUGAAUUUUGUAAAACUUGCUAACAUGUUGGCCUAGCAAGUGCAGGUCUUUCCGUUCGUGAACGUCCCAGAGCCAAGUAGUGCGCGUCGUGUGUUAGAGUUUAGAGUAAAUUUAAAAGUUGAAUUUGUUAAAGUGGUGUGAUGAAAACUAAAUUAAAUUACUAAAUUACAGGUUAAAAAAGCUAAACAAAACGAGACGUUCACAAAUAAAAAUCUAUUAGUCGAUACAAACGGAAAAUUAAAAAGUGUCUAACAUGCAUAAAAGAGGUGUUAGCGAAAAUAGCAGCUACAACUAAAGCUUAAAAAUUAUAACAAGCAACAAGUUAAAAGACAUUAAACCGUUUUAGGUGUAAAAGCUAAAAAUCCUAAAAACGGUACAACAAGAAACUGUGAAACACAUUAAAACAAAGCUACAUAGAAAAAGGUCCAGAGGGCCUUUUUCUUUUGUAUUUCACAGCUCAAGCUCCCGGUCUACUUCGUAGGUUUGCUGUCGGGGCCAAAACCAAAACGGCCAGCGAAAGGACAUAAAAAUCCAACGUCCUACCGACGACCUAACCUCACUCAAGGUCACGCAACAACCGAGGCAUCAACCCGAGUGGUAUCAACAACAUUUUGACUUCGUUUCGGGACGCCGAAACGGGUUCGAAUCUGCCGAAGAAGCUGCCUGCGGAGCAAAUAAUCUGCAUAGACCGGAGCCUUGAAAAGUGUUGCAAAACUGCACUUACAUCAAUCGAAGAAAACCGCAAGUAUAAAAAAUAGUGACGUCUCAUAUUUAGGGCCCAUGCUAUCAAUAAACCACAGCAUUGUAAUUUGUAAAAUUAGCCCGCCUGUGUUAGUAUUUAUUUGGUGGGAUUUACAGCCACUUUUUGCUUGAUCGUUAAAAUUCCCGUUGUCCCAUGCCUCCCUCUGAGAUGUUCCACUGAAAGUUCUGCAUUUUGGUCUCUGACAAUUGUCAAACAAUUAUUUUCGUAUCGUCCGACACCGGUUGGUAACAUGCGAGGUACCACUCGUAUUUGUAGCAUUGAUUUGUUCCCCGCUUUAUGGACAUCCCUCUUUGAGUUUUAAUUGGAGCUCAAGAGGAAGCAGCCCGUUGUGUAUCCCACUGCAUACGACCCUGAGUCUCAAGAGAUCCCACAAAAACCACCCCUAUUUUGAAUCACCCACCCGC